GGUGAACGCUGGCGGUAGGCCUAACACAUGCAAGUCGAACGGCAGCACAGUAAGAGCUUGCUCUUACGGGUGGCGAGUGGCGGACGGGUGAGGAAUACAUCGGAAUCUACUUUUUCGUGGGGGAUAACGUAGGGAAACUUACGCUAAUACCGCAUACGACCUACGGGUGAAAGCAGGGGAUCUUCGGACCUUGCGCGAUUGAAUGAGCCGAUGCCGGAUUAGCUAGUUGGCGGGGUAAAGGCCCACCAAGGCGACGAUCCGUAGCUGGUCUGAGAGGAUGAUCAGCCACACUGGAACUGAGACACGGUCCAGACUCCUACGGGAGGCAGCAGUGGGGAAUAUUGGACAAUGGGCGCAAGCCUGAUCCAGCCAUACCGCGUGGGUGAAGAAGGCCUUCGGGUUGUAAAGCCCUUUUGUUGGGAAAGAAAAGCAGCAGGUUAAUACCCCGCUGUUCUGACGGUACCCAAAGAAUAAGCACCGGCUAACUUCGUG
rnacentral:rRNA from 1 species